CCAAUAGCGUAUAUUAAAGUUGUUGCAGUUAAAAAGCUCGUAGUUGAAUUUCGGGGUCAGUAGAUUGGUCAUGCCACUGGUAUGUACUGGUCUCACUGAUUCCUCCUUCCUGAUGAGCCGUAAUGCCAUUAAUUUGGUGUUGCGAGGGAUCUGGACUGUUACUUUGAAAAAAUUAGAGUGUUUAAAGCAGGCUAACGCUUGAAUACAUUAGCAUGGAAUAAUGAAAUAGGACGUUCGAUCUUAUUUUGUUGGUUUCUAAGAUUGACGUAAUGAUUAAUAGGGAUAGUUGGGGGCAUUAGUAUUCAAUUGUCAGAGGUGAAAUUCUUGGAUUUAUUGAGGACUAACUACUGCGAAAGCAUUUGCCAAGGAUGUUUUCAUUAAUCAAGAACGAAAGUUAGGGGAUCGAAGACGAUCAGAUACCGUCGUAGUCUUAACCAUAAACUAUGCCGACUAGGGAUCGGAUGAUGUUAAUUUUUUAAUGACUCAUUCGGCGCCUUACG
rnacentral:rRNA from 1 species